rnacentral:rRNA from 2 species
UGAGCGAAUCGAUGGGAGCUUGCUCCCUGAGAUUAGCGGCGGACGGGUGAGUAACACGUGGGCAACCUGCCUAUAAGACUGGGAUAACUUCGGGAAACCGGAGCUAAUACCGGAUACGUUCUUUUCUCGCAUGAGAGAAGAUGGAAAGACGGUUUACGCUGUCACUUAUAGAUGGGCCCGCGGCGCAUUAGCUAGUUGGUGAGGUAAUGGCUCACCAAGGCGACGAUGCGUAGCCGACCUGAGAGGGUGAUCGGCCACACUGGGACUGAGACACGGCCCAGACUCCUACGGGAGGCAGCAGUAGGGAAUCUUCCGCAAUGGACGAAAGUCUGACGGAGCAACGCCGCGUGAACGAAGAAGGCCUUCGGGUCGUAAAGUUCUGUUGUUAGGGAAGAACAAGUACCAGAGUAACUGCUGGUACCUUGACGGUACCUAACCAGAAAGCCACGGCUAACUACGUGCCAGCAGCCGCGGAAUACGAG